AGUGAACGUUGGCGGCGUGGAUUAGGCAUGCAAGUCGAGCGAGAACCGUAGCAAUACGGGGACAGCGGCGAAAGGGACAGUAAUGUGUAGGUACCUACCCCGAGGUCUGGGAUAGCUGCGGGAAACUGCAGGUAAUACCGGAUAAUGUCUUCGGACCAAAGGUGUGAUUCCACCUUGGGAGGGGCCUGCAUCCUAUUAGCUUGUUGGCGGGGUAACGGCCCACCAAGGCGACGAUGGGUAGCGGGUGUGAGAGCACGACCCGCGUCAUUGGGACGGAGACACUGCCCAGACACCUACGGGUGGCUGCAGUCGAGGAUCUUCGGCAAUGGGCGCAAGCCUGACCGAGCGACGCCGCGUGCGGGAUGAAGGCCUUCGGGUUGUAAACCGCUGUCGUAGAGGAGGAAAUGCAGGGGGGUUCUCCCUUCUGUUUGACCUAUUCUAGGAGGAAGGACGGGCUAAGUUCGUGCCAGCCGCCGCAGUAC
rnacentral:rRNA from 1 species